UAAAAAGUAAGUAGGUUGAGAGUUAAAAAACAAAAGUGAAGUCUUUCUUUCACUUCUGAAAAAUCAGAAUUAGUGCUUAUUCUUGUGGAAUUGAAGUUCCGAGCUCCUUUCUCUGAGUGCCUGAAGAUCACAAAACUAAUGUUCUAUUUUGCUUUUGGUUCACUUUUGCUUCUAUCUUUGAUUGUCAUCGAUAUCUCUGAGGUUUUCAUUUUAGGUUUACCUGAGUUUGCUGUUGGUUUUUAUUAUCACUAUUCACUAGGUAUUGUUGGAUUUUCUGCUUGGCUUUAAAAAUCUGUCACUGGAUUCUCAGUACUGGUUGCUGGUUAUUCCUGGUCUUUAUUGUUGUUGUUACUGUGUAUGCUACUGCUGCACUGAUCACUCCUUUUCUUCUUUUGCUUUCCAAUAUCAGGUACACAACUGAUACACUGACUAUUGUAAGCCGAUAACACGAAGCAUGAAUAUAAAAAUGAAGACUAGAAGUUCAGAAUUCACUUUAGUUUGUCUACUGAUUUGUAUAUAUUACGAUAUUAUUUCACUAGAAUCAUAUAAGUGGUUGUGAUGUACAAUUGGAUAUUUGUGUAGUAAUUUGAUCGAUAAACUCUCCAUGUUUGCGUAGUUAAAAAAAAGGGUUGAUGGUGUAGUUAAUAAUGCGCUGUUUAUUUCAGUUUGGUUGUUAGUUACAAGUUGCCUGUCU
rnacentral:lncRNA from 1 species